GAGGAUUUAGUUUAAUUAAAGCAAUUGGUUUGCAUCCAUUAGAUGUGAGAUAGAGUCUUACAGUCCUUA
rnacentral:tRNA from 1 species